rnacentral:rRNA from 1 species
AGUGGCAGACGGGUGAGUAACAUGUGGGUAUCUGCCCUUUGGCCUGGAAUAACACGAGGAAACUUGUGCUAAUACCGGAUAAGUCUUUACGGAGAAAGCUUUAUGCACCAUUGGAUGAGCCCGCACUUGAUUAGUUUGUUGGUGGGGUAAUGGCCUACCAAGACUGUGAUCAAUAGCUGAUUUGAGAGGAUGAUCAGCCACAUUGGGACUGAGACACGGCCCAAACUCCUACGGGAGGCAGCAGUGGGGAAUCUUGCACAAUGGAGGAAACUCUGAUGCAGCGAUGCCGCGUGAGUGAAGAAGGCCCUUGGGUUGUAAAGCUCUUUCGUCGGGGAAGAAAAUGACUGUACCCGAAUAAGAAGGUCCGGCUAACUUCGUACCAGCAGCCGCGGUAAUACGUAGGGUGCAAGCGUUAAUCGGAAUUACUGGGCGUAAAGCGUGCGCAGGCGGUUAUGCAAGACAGAUGUGAAAUCCCCGGGCUCAACCUGGGAGCUGCAUUUGUGACUGCAUAGCUGGAGUGCGGCAGAGGGGGAUGGAAUUCCGCGUGUAGCAGUGAAAUGCGUAGAUAUGCGGAGGAACACCGAUGGCGAAGGCAAUCCCCUGGGCCUGCACUGACGCUCAUGCACGAAAGCGUGGGGAGCAAACAGGAUUAGAUACCCUGGUAGUCCACGCCGUAAACGAUGUCUACUAGCUGUUCGCGGCCUUGUGUUGUGAGUAGCGCAGCUAACGCACUAAGUAGACCGCCUGGGGAGUAC